AGUGAACGCUGGCGGUAGGCCUAACACAUGCAAGUCGAACGGCAGCACAGUAAGAGCUUGCUCUUACGGGUGGCGAGUGGCGGACGGGUGAGGAAUACAUCGGAUUCUACUUUUUCGUGGGGGAUAACGUAGGGAAACUUACGCUAAUACCGCAUACGACCUACGGGUGAAGGCAGGGGAUCUUCGGACCUUGCGCGAUUGAAUGAGCCGAUGUCGGAUUAGCUAGUUGGCGGGGUAAAGGCCCACCAAGGCGACGAUCCGUAGCUGGUCUGAGAGGAUGAUCAGCCACACUGGAACUGAGACACGGUCCAGACUCCUACGGGAGGCAGCAGUGGGGAAUAUUGGACAAUGGGCGCAAGCCUGAUCCAGCCAUACCGCGUGGGUGAAGAAGGCCUUCGGGUUGUAAAGCCCUUUUGUUGGGAAAGAAAAGCAGCAGGUUAAUACCCCGCUGUUCUGACGGUACCCAAAGAAUAAGCACCGGCUAACUUCGUG
rnacentral:rRNA from 1 species